UCCAAACAAAGGUUUUUGAACUAUAAAUCAUGUUUCAAAUACCCUCACCACAAAAAAGUUUCAAUUUGCACACAUUUAAAGUGUUUUAAUUUGUGGGUAUUUAGUGAUAUACACGCACACUCAAAAAAUGUUCAACGCGUGAAAUUGUGAUACCAUAGGCUUGACCUUCAUGUAAAACUCCAUUAAUGUGAGAACAUUUGAACUGAAAUCAUGUACGACUUGUUAU
rnacentral:lncRNA from 1 species